rnacentral:lncRNA from 10 species
ACACCACUUACCAAUCAAGUUGAUUCUCAAUGUUAGCACCGUGGCCUGGCAAGAUCGGACGUUUUCCGAGGAACCCGGCUGAGCUCCUGUGAGAGCUGCUCCCUGCACUGAUGUGGUCCCUUGGCUGGCAGGCUGCUCUGUGAUCAACCAGGUGACACCUGCCUGUUAUGAGGGACAGGUAGGAGAGGAUGGGCUUUCCAUCAAAACAAACAAAAAAAAAGUCCCAAGAAGGAACUCGGCUCUUCAGAGAUUCAGGACUCAGGAGAAGACUUCGUAGUGAGAGUUGACGUAGAAGUUGACAGCCCAAACCCCACACCAGUUCUUAGAAGUAUUGAUCUCCAAGAAAGAGCAGAAAGAGCUACAACUCCUGCUCCCAGGGACUUACAGGAUCUAAAAAAUGUUUGUGCAGCCAUUUGGACCUCAGUAUGAAGUGGUGUUAAAAGGUGAAGUCCAUUCUUCAGGAAGUAAACCUCUGCCACGUGGAUCAUGCUCAGACAUCCUAUUGAAGUUUGUCCAACAAUUUCUUGCUUUGGAAGGUGUCUCUCUUGGUGGAACACAGUUUCACCUUUUGCUGGAACUCAGAGCUACAAAUGAUGCUUAAUGUACCAAUGCCUUCUGACUGAACUCCUCUCUGCCCUGAAUACAAGAGACCCUAAUAGUUAUGUGGAAAUAUCAUCGCCCCGUUCAGCAUGAAGAAGUUACAAAAGAUGGACCUUCAUCCUUCUGCAACCCUUA